rnacentral:rRNA from 1 species
GAUGAACGCUAGCUACAGGCUUAACACAUGCAAGUCGAGGGGUAACAAGAGAAAAGCUUGCUUUUCUUGUUGACGACCGGCGCACGGGUGAGUAACGCGUAUCCAACCUGCCUAUAACUAGGGAAUAACCUUGCGAAAGUAAGACUAAUACCCUAUGAUUUCCUUUGAUGACAUCAGAUUAGGAAUAAAGAUUUAUCGGUUAUAGAUGGGGAUGCGUUUGAUUAGAUUGUUGGCGGGGUAACGGCCCACCAAGGAAACGAUCAGUAGGGGUUCUGAGAGGAAGGUCCCCCACAUUGGGACUGAGACACGGUCCAAACUCCUACGGGAGGCAGCAGUGAGGAAUAUUGGUCAAUGGGCGGAAGCCUGAACCAGCCAAGUAGCGUGCAGGAUGACGGCCCUAUGGGUUGUAAACUGCUUUUAUACAGGAAUAAAGUUAGCCACGUGUGGUUAUUUGUAGGUACUGUAUGAAUAAGGACCGGCUAAUUCCGUGCCAGCCGCCGCAGUAA